UACAGAGGUCUCAAGCGUUGUUCGGAUUUAUUGGGCGUAAAGGGUGCGUAGGCGGUAAGGUAAGUUGGGUGUGAAAUGCCGCGGCUCAACCGCGGCCAGCACUCGAUACUGCCUUUCUAGAGCACUAGAGAGGGGGCUGGAAUUUACGGUGUAGCAGUGAAAUGCGUAGAUAUCGUAAGGAACGCCAGUUGCGAAAGCGAGCCUCUGGAUAGUAGCUGACGCUGAGGCACGAAAGCUGGGGGAGCAAACGGG
rnacentral:rRNA from 1 species